rnacentral:rRNA from 1 species
CCCUAUGGGGUGCAGCAGGCGGAAUGCUAAGUCAGUGGUGAAAUCUCCCGGCUUAACCGGGAAACUGCCAUUGAUACUGUCAUUCUUGAGUACAGUUGAAGUGGGCGGAAUGUGUCAUGUAGCGGUGAAAUGCUUAGAUAUGACACAGAACACCGAUAGCGAAGGCAGCUCACUAAGCUGUAACUGACGCUCAUGCACGAAAGCGUGGGGAUCAAACA